rnacentral:lncRNA from 1 species
AGUAGAGACGGGUUUUCACCAUGUCAGCCAGGCUGGUCUCAAACUCCUGACCUCAGAUGACCUACCUGCCUUGGCUUCCCAAAGUGCUAGGAUUAAAGGCGUGAGCCACCGUGCCCGGCCAGAGUUCUCACUUUCAAAGAAGGAAGUUACAAAUAUAAAAACAAAAACUAGAACCAAACUAGAAUUAGAAGUGGAGGUAUCAGUGUGAGCUUAUAGUUUUCAAUAACAGAAAUUAAGAAAUAAAUACAUGUGUGUUACAUGUAUACAUUUCCCGGGAGCAGUGAACCUAAGUAUGGGCAACCAUGUCUACCAUCAACAUUUGCCCCCCCCAACCCCCCCGCUUUUUUUUUUUAAAGAGACAGGGUCUUGCUCUGUUGCCCAGGCUGGAGUACAGUGAUGUGAUCAUAACUCACUGCAACCUUGAACUCCUGGGCUUAAAUGAUCCUCCUGAGUAGCUGGGACUACAGGCAUGUGCCACCACACUUGGCCUUUUUUUUUUUUUUUUUUUUUUUUUAAAGAAAUGGGGUCUCACUAAGUUGCUCAGGCUGGUCUUGAACUCCUCAGCCCCCUAAAGUGCUGGGAUUAUACCAUGCCUGAUUCAUAUUUUGGCUUUUAAAAAGCAUUCUCCACUAAAAAGAACUAUGCUGCCUAGAGAAAAAGCUCAAGGGCUAGUGAGGGUACAAAAUAAGCCAGCCAGGAAUAUCUUCUCAGGGCAGAAAGUUACGUAGUUCUCAAAGAAUGACAGAGACAUCAAAAAGACACAAAAGUCAGCCUGAAGAAACUUCCCUUGACCAGAUAUGAUACAAUUUUGAGCAUCAAAACUAAAAUGGUAUUAACAGAUUAUAUAACCCAUCAAAUAAGACAAAUCCACUAAAUUUUUUUUGGAGUGGGGAGGGGGCAGUUGAAAGACAGAGUCUCACUCUGUCUCCCAGGCCAGAGUGCAGUGGUGCGAUCUUGGCUCACUACAACCUCCGCCUCCUGGGUUCAAGCGAUUCUCGUGCCUCAGCCUCCCAUGUAGCUGGGAUUACAGGCGUGAGCCACCACGCCUGGCUAGUUUUGCAUUUUUAGUACAGACAGGGUUUCACCACGUUGGCCAGGCUGGUCUUGAACUCCUGACCUCAAGUGAUCCACCCACCUCAAAGUGCUGAGGUGGGCGGAUCACCUGAGGUCAGGAGUUCGAGACUAGUUUCACCAAUAUGGUGAAGUCCUGUCUCUACUAAAAAAAAACACAAAAAUUAGCCAGGUGUGGUGGCGGGCGCCUGUAGUCCCAGCUACUCAGGAUGCUGAGACAGGAGAAUCGCUUGAACCCGGGAGGUGGAGGUUGCAGUGAGCCCAGAUCAUGCCACUGCACUCCAGCCUGGGUGACAGAGCGAGACACUCUCAAAAAAACAAAAACAACAAAAGAGGCUGGGGUGGGAAGAUCACUUGAGCCCAGGAGGUAGUGACUGUGCCACUGCAUUCCAGCCUGGGCAACAGAGCAAGACUCUAUCUCAAAAAAAAAAAAAAAAAAAAAACAGAACACAAUACCACCUUUUUGUGAUAUUUCUGCCAAAGGUUCAUAACCUGAUUCUAAUCCUGAGGAAAUAACAGACAAAUUCAAAUUAAAGGACAUCCUAUCAAAUAAACUGGUCUGUAAUCUUCAAAAGUAUUGAGGUUAUAAAAGUUGAGGAAAUAACUACAAAACUGCAUCAGAUUAAAG